CUAUGACCUAGCAGUUACCCCUCAGCUGAUGUGGUCUGGUGGCUUAAUUACUAUAAGUGACCCAAGCUGUGUAAGGGUCAAGGCAGGCUACGCAAAGGAGAACUCAGUCAGAAAGAAGGAGAUUCCAGAGAGAGGAGACACGUCACAGGGCCCAAGAGGUGAUCAGCAGGGGCACAAAAGGCAAAGACCCCCUGCAACACCAUGACCUGAUGUCAGGGGGUGAGAUGAUGGAUGAAGUACCUGUUUUGGUGAUCCCUCCUUGGAGGAAGAUGAGUUCCCAGACAACUCUGCAGAAGACUGUUCAGAUGACAGAUUGCUGUCCAGAGUCUGAUAGGACUGUACAAAACUGUGUCCUUCACAAUCUCUACAGAGACUUCGGGCCCUUUAGCUUGGGUGGGCUUAGGCCUGCUGUCUCCCAGCAACCACAGUAGGCACAGAGACUUCUAAAUACCCUCUCCACUGGCUUUGCCUCCACAGGUUACCAUGGAUUAAGAUUCAGUGCAAUAAAUGAAGUGAUCAAGAUGGUGUCUGGGAGUGCCAGUGGCAGAAAUCUCACGCUGAAUCUGAAUGUUUUGCGGCAUAUUGUAUUUUUAAAGCUAAUUGUAUGUUAUGCGAAGAAACAUUUCCUGUUCUCCAACCUGUUUGAAUGUAACAUGUGGCUGACAGCUUAAUGAAGCCUUACUGUCUCUAGUGGAUUACAUAAAGUUGCAUUUCUGGGUGAAGAACUUUCUGUUACUCUGUAGGCUCAGAUUAGGAUUUACCUUUCUGCUUUAAUGGAAGCAGAACAAUGACAUGAGGAAUGUUAGUUUGCUUUCUGCUUGAAUGUCAGGGCAUCCCCACUGCCCCGCAGUUUGAUCUAGGGGUGUAUGAAUAACAGUGUGGACCACCGUGCUGUGCUAUAACUCCCCCCGGGGACUGUCUAGGUGUAAACUUAAAGGCCCUGAGUUCACAUUAAUGUAGUCCCCUUCAAAGCCCUCAGUCAGCUUUGCCUGCUGCGGUGAUAAGGGUAUUUUGUGCCAUAACCUGAACUGGAUCCUUGUCACCUCUUAAUGGAGAAGUGCAGCAGGGGAAGUAUUGGUUCUCUGGUUGAAAUAGUCAAUGCCCGUGUGUGCACGAGAGAUUCUUCACAGAUAUUUCCCCUUGCCCCUUUGCAAACCUUCACCUUUAAAGAGCCAUAGGUGUUAUAUUUUAACAGUUCACUUUUAGAUCAACAGCUAGUUCCCACUGCCACAUAAUCACUGUUCAUGCACUGUCGCCCUGGCUGACACAGAGUGCCUGCGGGCUAAUUCAACCUUUGCCCCUUCCAAUACAGAAAACUAUACACCAGCCAUAUAAACCACCAGUUCAAAUAUAGAAAGACAUCUUAUCUCAAAUUUCUAACAGAAUAAAACACUACAUUGGACAGAAUUUGAUGUUACCUGACAAUACA